GACGAACGCUGGUGGCGUGCUUAACACAUGCAAGUCGAACGGAAAGGCCCUGCUUUUGUGGGGUGCUCGAGUGGCGAACGGGUGAGUAACACGUGAGUAACCUGCCCUUGACUUUGGGACAACUUCAGGAAACUGGGGCUAAUACCGGAUAGGAGCUCCUGCUGCAUGGUGGGGGUUGGAAAGUUUCGGCGGUUGGGGAUGGACUCGCGGCUUAUCAGCUUGUUGGUGGGGUAGUGGCUUACCAAGGCUUUGACGGGUAGCCGGCCUGAGAGGGUGACCGGCCACAUUGGGACUGAGAUACGGCCCAGACUCCUACGGGAGGCAGCAGUGGGGAAUAUUGCACAAUGGGCGGAAGCCUGAUGCAGCAACGCCGCGUGCGGGAUGACGGCCUUCGGGUUGUAAACCGCUUUCGCCUGUGACGAAGCGUGAGUGACGGUAAUGGGUAAAGAAGCACCGGCUAACUACGUGCCAGCAGCCGCGGUGAUACGUAGGGUGCGAGCGUUGUCCGGAUUUAUUGGGCGUAAAGGGCUCGUAGGUGGUUGAUCGCGUCGGAAGUGUAAUCUUGGGGCUUAACCCUGAGCGUGCUUUCGAUACGGGUUGACUUGAGGAAGGUAGGGGAGAAUGGAAUUCCUGGUGGAGCGGUGGAAUGCGCAGAUAUCAGGAGGAACACCAGUGGCGAAGGCGGUUCUCUGGGCCUUUCCUGACGCUGAGGAGCGAAAGCGUGGGGAGCGAACAGGCUUAGAUACCCUGGUAGUCCACGCUGUAAACGGUGGGUACUAGGUGUGGGGUCCAUUCCACGGGUUCCGUGCCGUAGCUAACGCUUUAAGUACCCCGCCUGGGGAGUACGGCCGCAAGGCUAAAACUCAAAGGAAUUGACGGGGCCCCGCACAAGCGGCGGAGCAUGCGGAUUAAUUCGAUGCAACGCGUAGAACCUUACCUGGGUUUGACAUGGAUCGGGAGCGCUCAGAGAUGGGUGUGCCUCUUUUGGGGUCGGUUCACAGGUGGUGCAUGGCUGUCGUCAGCUCGUGUCGUGAGAUGUUGGGUUAAGUCCCGCAACGAGCGCAACCCUUGUUCACUGUUGCCAGCACGUUAUGGUGGGGACUCAGUGGAGACCGCCGGGGUCAACUCGGAGGAAGGUGGGGAUGACGUCAAGUCAUCAUGCCCCUUAUGUCCAGGGCUUCACGCAUGCUACAAUGGCUGGUACAGAGAGUGGCGAGCCUGUGAGGGUGAGCGAAUCUCGGAAAGCCGGUCUCAGUUCGGAUUGGGGUCUGCAACUCGACCUCAUGAAGUCGGAGUCGCUAGUAAUCGCAGAUCAGCAACGCUGCGGUGAAUACGUUCCCGGGGCU
rnacentral:rRNA from 1 species